UUUUCCUGACCACGUUGUUUUUUCUCACAGAAUCCCCAAUCUCACAGAAAACGCCGCCGCUCGUUUCCCUUACAGAAUCCCCAAUCUCACAUCUCAGCACCGCCCGGGGAUUGCCGGCCGCUGCCGCCCAGGCCCGCCUUGCUGCCGCCGGGGCCAAUUUCGCCGCCGCGUCUGCUAUGUCCUGUCGGCCGUCGCCACCGUGGCAAAUCGAGGCCACUUCCGCCUUGAGCCGCGCCUGUCGCGGCCACCUCCUCAACCACCGUCGGUGCCUCCUCUUCGCCUCGCUGGCGCCUCCUCAACCAGCACCGCCAGCCUGAGCGGAGGAACGGGGGCAUCCGGUUCAGGGGAGAAAGAGGGCAGCGCGGAGCGGCUGUGUGGGAGCGCCAGAGGUUGGCGGCGACGGGAGGAGGUGCCGAGUUCACCGUCGAGUGCGAGCUUCACCGGGGCGCAUCGAGCACGGCCCACGGAUCGGGCACACCGAGAGCAUAAAGUUGUAUCAAGGUUAGGUUAGAUCCUUCUCACAUCUUCCUCCAAACCCUCCAGAUCUAUCCUAGGUUUCUCUAUCGUUUUUUUUUGGUCGGGUUCUAAUUAAGUUUGCCCCUGAUUCGAUUUCGUUUUGUGCUAUGUAUCGAUAUUGUUCUUGUAAAGUAAGAGCCAAAAUGCAGAUUAGGUCAAGCUAUCCCUAUGUUUUCAAAUCAGGCUAGGUUAAUUUGAUGUGGAUAAUCAAUUUUGCAUGUACCUAAUUGUGCAGGUUCAAGGUUUAAUCCCCAAUUCGAUUCGUCGUGUGCCAAUUUAGUUAUAGGUUAUAGUGAACAUUUUUCCUCAAGCAACUGUGUUGAAUUAGAAGUUGUACCAAAUUAGGCUAAAAUUAACUUCCUAAACUUUGUUGAAUCAUGAGUUGCUAGGCUAAUUGCAUAAUUAUUUGCUUCUGGGCCACUCAACUAUUAUUGCUCCAUAUAUAGACUAAAAGUCUGCCUAAAGUCUGAAACUAGUUCUCUUUUUUCAGUUCUGUUAUUUGGUUGUUAUCAUCAGAUCUAUAUUUUGUGGGAAUCUGGUUUUCUCAGUGUUUUUGCUGAAAAAAAGAGAUCUGUUUUUGCAAUAUAUAGGUUACCUGGUUCUAAUAUAUAGGUUGCCUAGUCUCGUCCAUUUCUGAAAUUGUCAACUUAAAAACCUUGAUCAAAAUGCAGAGAAGUCUAAGGUGUACACAAAAAAUAUAUGAAAAGUUUAGAUCUAAACAUGCCUUUUUUCUUAACCGGCCCUUUUUGCUAGUAGAUUGGGCUCUUGCCUCGUCGAAAUGCAGAACAGUCAAUGGUGUACACAAAAAAUAUAUGAGAGGUUUAUAUGAUUAAUUAAAAGUAAAGAUAUCCUUAAAGACUUCAAAUUGUCAACUCGAAACUCAAAAGAAAUGCAAACCAAUCUAAGAUUUACACAAAAAAAUAUUGGUCAUCUUCGUCUUGGAUAUUGACUGGAGCGACAACUCCAUCAUCAAUGUAGGUGUCAUCAGGAUCAAGGUCUUCGUCUGCUAUGUCCUCAUCACCGGUUCAGGCAUGGGUGAAGCACGCACAUUCUCAAUAACUGAAGCAUCACCACUGACCCCUUCCACGUCGGUCCUACGCCAAACUGUCAACUCAUCUUGAUUAUGUUGAACAUUCAUAUGUUCCACUCCUACUACGAGUGAGUCAGCAUCGGUAUCAGCAACAAUAUUAGAACUGUCUUCUCCUUCAGGCAUUGCAAACAGGUUCCUAGGUUUCAGUCUAAGGACGCUGCACCAAUUAGCUCUCUUAGCGGUUUUCACAUAACACACCUGCUCUGCCUGUGUGGCCAGGAUGUAUGGCUCGUCUGCAUAUCGACGCAAAGUGGUAUCAAUAUCGAUGAUCCCAUAUUGAUCUUUAUUGAACCCUCUUGAUUUCGUCCUAUUUGCUCCAGGAACAUCAAACCACUCGAACAAUACGACUUCCUUCUUGUCAGGAAAUUCAAGGGUAAUGAUUCUUUUAAGAACUCCGUACCACUCCAUGCCAUCACCCAUGACAACAACACCACUGUUCUGAGUGACUAGGGAUUUCUCUAGAUCAAUGGUCCGAAAGAGAAAGCCAUUAAUGACACACCUAUUGGACACACGAACUCGAUGAUCUGGACCACGAGAUAGAUUAUAUAGAUUUUCUUCGACUUCUCCCUGUUCAUGCAGUGUCCCAAUCUGCAGUUACAGUUACAUGUGAAAUAUAUUAGUAAUAUACAUACAAAAUUGACAAGGUACAAAUGAUCCGAGAUAUAUCGCUCACUUUACGUUCAAACCAAGACACAAAUUGUUUCUUGUGCCUUUCUUCAACUUUGUGCAUGCUGGUUUUCCUCAAUUCAGCCAUAUGCUGUCUGAAAAUUUGUUAAUAAUCUCCUCAGUUAAAUGUAUAGUCAGCACAUAAAUACUAGAAAUUUCUAAUAAUAAAAAUUUCACAUGAAACUUACUCUAUCCAAUCGUUGGUCUCUUCACUGUUUGAAAGUAUGUAGUACCUCAUCUUCUGCAAGACAGAAUCAGGUACAGUCUCGAGACUUACUAUGGCACGAUCGAAGUCCAAUUUCCCAAAUACACUUAGCCCAGAAGGUGGUUCAUCAGCGCUCUGUACAUGACGAUCUGCCUUGUUCUCCUUUGUAGAAAUGUCAUCAAAGAACCGAGAACAGAAUGUAGUGCACUCCUCCAAGAUAUAUCCCUCUGCUAUUGAACCUUCUGGCAGCGCUUUGUUCCUCACAUAGCCUUUCAGGGUACGUAGAUACCUCUCUAUUGGAUACAUCCAUCUAUAGCAAACCGGGCCUCCAAGUCUAGCCUCUUCAGCUAAACGCUGGUGGGAAUAUCAUCUCUAAGCGACAAAGGGUCUCUGAAAUCAAAAUGCUAAGUUUUUCGAGUUCAGGCACCUCCAGCUCCUUCGAACAUAUUGAGUUAAAGAAGCUGCUGAGCUGGAUCAAUGGGAUCGCUGUAACUUCAGGCAAUAUAUGGCGUACCACCAAGGGUAUAAGUUUUUGUAACAUAACAUGGUAGUCAUGACUUUUAACUCCAACAAGCUUGCAACCGGCGACGUCAACACAUCGCCUGAUAUUUGAGGCAUAACCAUCCGGCAUCUUCACCUCUUAUAGAAAUUUGUACAUGAUUUGCUUCUUUUCUUUCUCUAAGUAGUACAACCCUGGCGGCAAAGUGUAUUUACCAUCGGCGAUCUUUGGAUGCAUAUCCGUCCUUAUACCCAUAUGUUGCAGAUCAAGUCGAGCCUUCUCACCGUCCUUAGAUUUACCAUCUAUACCAAGCAAUGUCCCCAUCAAGCUCUCACAUAUGUUCUUCUCAACAUGCAUCGCAUCUAAAUUAUGGCAUAUAAGCAAUGAUUUCCAAUAAGGAAGCUCAAAAAAAAAAUACUCUUCUUCCUCCAGUUGUGCCACCUAUUAUCUUCAUCACGCUGCUUCCUCUUCCUUGAACCAAUUCCGAAAGUUACUUGCUCAAAACUAGUGUACUGCUGCAAUACCUCCUCACCACUGAGCGGCACUGGACGCUCCCUGGUUUCAUACCUGUUAUUGAAGUUGUCCUUGUUUCUUCGCCACCAGUGGUCCAAGGGCAAAAAACGGCGAUGCCCCAUGUAGCAAUGCUUCAAACCAAAUUUUAACCAAAGGUGAUCAGUAUACUGGUGACAGUAAGGACAAGUAAACUUGCCUUUCGUGCUCCAACCAGAUAACAUCGCAUAUGGAGGGAAAUCGUUUAUUGUCCAAAGCAGUAGUGCACGUAGAGUAAAAUUCUUCUUCACCUUCGCAUCCCAUGCUUCAACUCCUUUUUCCCAUAGCAAUUUAAGCUCAUCGAUCAGAGGCUGCAAAUACACAUCAAUGUUCAUUCCUGGAGAUUUAGGCCCAAGUAUCAGCAUGGACAUCAUCCAGUAAGAUUGUUUCAAGCACAACCAAGGAGGCAGGUUAUAAGGAAUUAGGAUCACCGACCAUGUAGUGUAAGUCACAUUGAGCAUCCCAAAAGGAUUGAAGCCAUCUGAUGCAAGUCCCAACCUAACAUUACGUGGAUCCAAUGCAAAUUCUUUAUACUGCUCGUCAACGUGAUUCCAUGCUAGUGAGUCGGCUGGGUGCCGCAUUUUCCCAUCAUGCACUAAUUUUUCCUUGUGCCAACGCAUAUGCAACGAUGUGAUCUCAUUCAUAUAUAAUCUUCGCAGAUGAGGAACAAGUGGAAAAUACCUAAGUAUUUUACGAGGAAGCGGAUUCUUUGCUCCAUCAGGAUCUCUCGUUUUCCACCUACUCUCCCCACAUGUUGGACACUCGUCCAUAUCUUUGUAGGCUCCACAAAAUAACACAUAGUCAUUCACACAAGCAUGAAUCUUUUCGUAGUCCAGACCAAGAUCUCAAACUACUUUUCGAACUUUAUCCAAGCUAUCUGGAACAUAAUGUCCUUCUGGGAGCAAAAGAUUGAACAAGUGAAGUAUCUGCUCCAUGCCUUGGUUGCUAAUACCGAACAUGCACUUAAUCUGAAAUAGCCUGACAAUGAAAGAUACUUUGGUAGCCUCCUUGCAACCUGGGUACAAUUCUUUCUUCGCUUCUUGCAUUAAGUUGAAGAAUUUCUUUGCAGAUUCAUUUGGCUCCUCCUUAUCACCACUUCUUGUUAUUUUUCCAUCUAUAGCACCACUGAUUAGUGAUCUAAAAAGAUCUUUGGUAGAGCCUGAAUCAUCUCGUGCUUCGGCUUCAUUGAAGUCACAAUCCUCAUCCAUAGGUUCAGCAACGCGAUGUUUCUGUUUAAUAAAAUCCUUGUCAAACCCUUUUGUCAGCAAGUGCUGUUCAACCUCUGUUUUUGUUAUGUACACUAGGCAACGACACCUACGACAUGGACAUGCCGCGGUCUGGCCUGGAUAGUUCCCUUGAAAUUCUUUCUCAAUGAAUUGCUGGAAACCGGCUUGCCACGCUUCAUCUGUAUGUGGCAAUAGCAUCCAACUCCUAUCAGCAUCGUGUGACAUCUUAAUUUACAGUUCCUGCAGCGAUGGAAAAAGAGCGACCAACUGAUUUAACACAUGCCAAACAAAUGUUUCCCUCUUCUCAAAUUAAUGAACAUGAAUAUGUAAAUUAACCAUAUAUAUAUUGACAAACUUAUUUGGGUUGAUACUUAUUUGGGUUGAAACUUGAAAGGGCUGGUCUCUACAGAUUCCUCUUCUAAUUUUGUCUGGUAGGUUGAAACUUACUCCGUAUUUGGGUUCAAAUGGAAUAAGUUCAUGAGUUAUCAGCCAUGUGAUCAGGAAGGUGAGCCUCUUCCAGGAACCGAGCUAAAAGAGGCAUCUAUCUACUUUUAUGGUAUCCAGUCCGGUGGGUACCUGUGAAGCCCUUCUAGCGAUUCAUGAAGCCCCUUCGAUUUUACAUCCUUCGUGAGCUGGGUUCAAAGCUAACUGCUAGUUGAGGCAAUUAAUUAAAGGUGCUAACAGCUAGUGAAUUCCUGUACGUUUCCAUAGGAUUUGAGUGGUCCGGGCAUUCUAUUCAGUUCCUUCCUAUGAAUUGUAAACCGAAGAGGGCUGUAAUCAUAUAUUCAAGAACAUAUAUGGAUAAUCGAUCUCAUACCUGGGUGUGCGA